AAUUCAAAUUUAUGUAUUCUAGUAUGAGGCUAUGAGUUGAUCGGAUUUUUUUUCUGUAUUGUCUGACUGCAUCUGACAUGAAGUUUAUAUGUUGCACUGUAUAGCAGCGCUGCGGGCUCCCGCUUGAUCUGGCUACCCAGAAGCGUUCCUAAAUCUAAUUGUGAAACUUUACUUCUUAUUCUUAAUUAUUUUAAUUAUUCAUAUUGCAAUUUGUUUGGGUGUUUUCAGCAGGUUUACCUAUAGGACUAUUUACGGUUAAAAUAUGAUAAUGAUGUGGGAGAACUUUGAAAACACGUUGUCAGCGCAGCUUUUUUAUCGAAGUAUGUGCGUCAUGGCUGUUGUGCGCACGCGGUCAGGUUUAUCCCGUACAUACUUACACGCAAGCUGUGCAAAAAAGGCGCGGUUUUGCCUACUUUGUAUGUAAGUGCUUGGUGAAAUUCGAUGUAAGUAAGUGCGCGAUGCGCCUAUGCGCAAUUGGUACAGUUUACAACUGUAGUGACUGACAGUUGCACAUGGCACGCAUGUCAUGCUGAUGCAACGUACAGUACCACGCUGGCAGCUACAGUACUUACUACUUACUAUUCCCCAUUAUUGACAGAAGGUAAUUGACGUUUAAAUGACGGCUUCCCCGAGUACGGCUUGUUUUGAUCGUUUUCGUGACGGUGAUACUGUUAAGCUACCGAUGAUCCUGUGUUGCUGUUGAGUUGACAUUAAAGGCUGAUAAUAUAUAAAUAAUACAUUAUUAUACAUGUAUAUAAUAUAUAGCUAACGCGCACUGGAUGUGGCGUGUGAUUUAUAAUCAUUUAUUCUUCUAUAUUAUACAAGUUCUUUACCUGUUUUCCAGCCGACAUUUUGGUGUUUAUUGCCACUGCCAGCUGUUUCUAUUGGCCUUCGUUGAUGCGUUUACUGUCUAGAUCUGGAGAUCUCGGGUUCAAAGAUGGACUUAGUGCAUAUUAAUAUAUCGUCCUGCAAGGCGCUGUUAACCGCUGACGAACUGAUACGACUGACUCCAGCGAUACUUGUACACAUCGCAUAUAAAAUAAAUUAUGCUACUUCUAUUUCUGCGAGUGUACGUAUACUGGUACGGUGGUAACUGAAGCCUGAAGUAAUUACCUACUUGUAUUUCCGCUGCUGCUAGUGCGACGAGCUACUGCGUUAGCGUGGCAUGAUGGAAUCGGACUGGGCAUUUCAACUGGAAGUGGGCUUUGAGCCGUGGCCGUAUCGGCGCUUUGGCCGCAGUGUCAGCAACGGGAACACCGUGAUGGUCCAGCAGAACGACGCCUGGUAUCUGGGCUUCAUCGAGGACAUUGCCGACGACCAGCAGCACAUCUUCGUCAACUUCCACUGCACCGCGUUACCGGCCGCAUGGCUGCCCGCCCACCGCGUCUUCCCGCACGAUGUUCUCGCGGGGCCGCGCCGGGACGCCGACACGGUGCUGGCGGCGCUGCGCAGCGACCCCGCGGCGCCGCUGACAUUCCAGCCGGGCGCCGUUGUCGGCUGGUGGCAGCGCGGCCGUGUGUUGUGCUGCGUGCAGACGACGGCCGAUGGAUCGACGCAGCGCCAUCUCCUGCAUCUGCUACGUACUGCCGCACCGCAGCUGCCGCGUCGGCCGCUGCUGCAGCCCCCCGCGUCGCCGCGCGAGGGAGUCUACACCGCCUACACGACGGACACGCUGGACGUGGCGCACGUCAACUGUAUCGACACCAAUCGACUGCAGUUCGAGAUGAAUCGUGCGGUGUUCAUUGCGCAGCACCGGGCACUGAAUGGCCGGCCGCGGCACACAACCUACGGGAUCCAACACACACGCUAUUAUAUGCGCCUCGGCUCGGAUUCCGUCAAGUUUCUCAUCUGGCAGCGUCAAGAGGAGGAUCGUCCGUGGAGCGCCGAGAUGCUGUCGGAAUGCGUCCGGCGCUGCUUGCAGAACGGGGUAUUGGCUAACGAUAAUAUGGGUAUUAUUAAUGCAGAUAUCACAGAGCAUGGCAGCAGUGCAGUUGCGCAGGAGGACGGCGACAGCGGGCGGUUGGCUGGUCUGCCGUUGGAAAUCAUCCAGUGCCUGCUGGACAUGAUGGAUAUCGUCACCCGAACUAGGCUGCAACGGGUUAGUCAGGCCUGGCACGAGGUGGCCACCAGUUGCCGACACCGGCACUGUCUGCUGGAUUUCGGCCGGCGUGUACGCAGCACUAACAUGUACGACGAAAUGUACCGUCUGGGCCGACUGUUGUACCACGGUGUAACCCGUGACGUGCGGACGCUGGUGCUGAGCCGGUGGCGGCCCGGCGAGCACCGUCUGGCCGAGCGCAGCCUGCGUGUGGGCAGCAGCGACGUGACCCUCAUUCGGCAGCUGGUCAGAAUGCUCCGACCGGCACCGGCCGCGGCACUGCAGCGUAUCAUCUGCCACCGCUGCGUCGUAACCGGCGACCUGCCCACCGUCUGGGCGGUGGUCAGUGAAUGGAAGGCCAGUGCCCAUGCGCCGCUCUACUUUCCCCUGCACCACCUGUCACCGCUGAUGGACGUGUGCAGCGGCCAGCUGAUCCUGGUUGAUUACGUCCAGAACGACGCCGUCCAAGCCUUCCACCACUGCCGGCCCUCCUGGCACUCCGACUUCACCCCCUUGACCGAUGAGCCCUACCAGAGCCGCGACCCGGCGCCGCCGCUGCGGGUGGCCGUGCCCUUCCUGCGUCUGGACUGCGGCCAGGACAUUGUCGCGACUCUGACCGCCAUGCGGACGGCCAUGGAGGCCGCGCUGCCGGAGCCGCCGGCGGAGAUGCGCCGGGUGGCCACGGACAUGUACGCGUACUGGCGCACGCGCGACACCUACUGGCGCGUCCUCCGCCAUCUCCUCACCGCUACGGAGCCGGGCGGACCGGCAUGGGAGGAAGCCGACUUCCCCAGCACCCCGCUGCCGCAGCUGACCCGUCUAACCGUCUUCGCUCUGGACUCCAUGUGGGGCCCGCGCAGCGGUUCGGAUGACGCUGGCGCCGCGGAACCGUAACAGUAAUGUUCCACACCCAAUAAUCCACUAUCGCUGAUUAUUCGAGCAGGUCUGUCAUGAUACAUAGACUUUACGACAUGAAUGCGAAUCGUAGGACAAAACAAAUGCAAAGACAGUAAAAUUCCGGAAGACGUUCGCCUUACCACCUUCAUACGAUACUGAAGUGGUGGUAUUAUUUUUAUUUACAUCAGAAAAGAUCCCGAAAAUAAAUUAAAAAAUUUGAUUGAACAAGAAUUAAAGUCAGAAACGUGAAAUUAAUGAUACCGUAAUGAUAAUUUGUAUCUUUUUAUGUUUUUUUUUUCUUUUCUAAUUUUUCUGUUGUAAUUAUUCCUGUUUGUGUUACAAACUUGUGACGUGACUGGCUCGAGCUAAUAAAGAAAAAAAUUUUAUGUAGAAAUUGAUCGGUUUGUGAUUGUGGGUGAACGUACAUUUCCUACACCACCAAUCACCGAGGGCGGCUGCUCUACACCUCAAACGUAGUGAGGCGAAAGUGAUCGCGUAGCUCAGGAUCUGCACUACUGGUGGAAGCAAUUUCUCUAUUGCGCUGUGUCAGCAACAGGUGCUUCGCCCUCGGUCAGUCUUGAGUGGCCAUCCUGCACUACGAGAUGGUCCGCAGAGAGAAUUUGUGUGGUUCUAAUACUAUACUUAGUGUUGACCAUUUUUAUCUGUCAUAAAACAAACAUUAAUUAUAUCUGCUUUUUUGCAAGCGUUUAUUUACUGUACAAAAUCUCGUCUUGUAAAAUGUCGCGGAUCGAGUUGCAUGGGAAUCUGCGCCCAUCGCAGGCACACCGACUGCGCGCUCGCCCGCAGGACGUAGAAGCCAUCCAGACCGCGAUUCAUGCGCGCCUCGCUGGGUUUUCAGACUACCCGAUCCUGGUGGAUGUGCUGAUCCAUUCUCUCCCCUACCCGG